CUUCAGGUAUGUGUGAAACAACAUGGCGUGAGGAUCUGGAACCAGAUGACUUGUUUGAGUGCAUAGGCCAGUCACUUAUUAAUGCAUUCGAUCGUGAUGCCCUUUCAGGGUGGGGAGCAGUGGUUCAUGUUAUUGAGGAGGACAAGGUAACAACAAGGCAUAUCAAGAGUAGAAUGGACUAAAAGCAGACCUGUCUUUCACAAAGUUUCAUUCUCAUAAGCUAAUAGGUCAACUAUACUUAUUUUAUUCAGAAACAAUUUAUACACAGUGACCAUAUGCACUAAGCACUGGUGUAGCUUUUUCUUGGAAGAUAUGUUCCUGUAAGAUUUACACUUUCUAAGCUUCUCAGUGAAAUAGGAUUUUGAUUUUCAGUGAUCUUAAUAAACCAGUUUUCUUGU